rnacentral:rRNA from 1 species
ACGCACGCUGGCGGCAGGCCUAACACAUGCAAGUCGCGCGAGGACUUCGGUUCUAGCGGCGGACGGGUGAGUAACGCGUGGGAAUGUGCCCUUCUCUACGGAAUAGCCCUGGGAAACUGGGAGUAAUACCGUAUACGCCCUAUUGGGGAAAGAUUUAUCGGAGAAGGAUCAGCCCGCGUUGGAUUAGGUAGUUGGUGGGGUAAUGGCCUACCAAGCCGACGAUCCAUAGCUGGUUUGAGAGGAUGAUCAGCCACACUGGGACUGAGACACGGCCCAGACUCCUACGGGAGGCAGCAGUGGGGAAUCUUAGACAAUGGGGGCAACCCUGAUCUAGCCAUGCCGCGUGAGUGAUGGAGGCCUUAGGGUUGUAAAGCUCUUUCAGCUGGGAAGAUAAUGACGGUACCAGCAGAAGAAGCCCCGGCUAACUCCGUG